AUUGAACGCUGGCGGCAUGCCUAACACAUGCAAGUCGAACGGCAGCACGGGAGCUUGCUCCUGGUGGCGAGUGGCGGACGGGUGAGUAAUGCAUAGGAAUCUGCCCAGUAGCGGGGGACAACUUGGGGAAACUCAAGCUAAUACCGCAUGCGCCCUACGGGGGAAAGCGGGGGACCUUCGGGCCUCGCACUAUUGGAUGAGCCUAUGUCAGAUUAGCUUGUUGGUGGGGUAACGGGCCUACCAAGGCGACGAUCUGUAGCUGGUCUGAGAGGACGAUCAGCCACACUGGGACUGAGACACGGCCCAGACUCCUACGGGAGGCAGCAGUGGGGAAUAUUGCACAUGGGCGAAAGCCUGAUGCAGCAAUGCCGCGUGUGUGAAGAAGGCCUGCGGGUUGUAAAGCACUUUCAGUAGGGAGGAACAGUAGCCGGUU
rnacentral:rRNA from 1 species